rnacentral:lncRNA from 1 species
UCAAACGAAAAGAAUGUUAUCAUGACAAGUAAGGGAGCAACAAACCUUAGGGCCAAGGCCAUCAGAUAUGCCGAGAAAGAACAAUAUCCUGUGGGGGCAACAGACGUGCUUUGGGGUUCAUAGCCGAUAGGAAGGGUAAAAUAUGGAAGUUUGUGAAUAAGUAGUAGCCAAGAAAUUCGGAAAUCACCAGCCAAGUUCCAAAGAUUGUCGGACAACACAGAGCAAGGAAAGGAGAAAAGGUAAAUCCAUCUCCAGCGGAAGUACCACAACCAACCGCCACACUUUAAACUGACAAAAUUUUCUUUGAUUUGAAACAGGGGCAUGAAAAUGUUAUUGAAAGAUAUGUUGGGGCAGAAAAUUUUCUGCCGUUUUGAAAAUCAUUUUUGAAGUCGGGUACCCAUUCGAAGAACAUGAAGUUCAAAUACAUGUUUGUUAAAAGAAGAAGAUGGAAGUAGUGUUCAGGAGAAAAAUACUAGUUUCAAGGAAAGUAAUUUUCGGAGGAUUGGAACACCAAGUUGUUAGGGAAGUGGUUUUUGAAGAAGGACAACACCAAUUUUUAGGAAAGCAGUUCUGAAGGAAGGUAAUUCAAGUCAGAAGGUAGACAAAACAAGUUUCGGAGGAAAAUGGUUAGUCGAUAUAAAUCUUAGUCUGUUGAAUUUUUCACCUAAGAUAAAAAUCUUACUCUGAUGAAUCUUUUACCUAGGAUGAAGAUGAAGGAGGGAAAUCUUAGUCCGAUGAAUGUUUCACCUAAGAUAAAAAUCUUAGUCUGAUGAAUCUUUCACCUAAGAUAAAGGUAUAAGUUGGAAAAGUGAAAGGAAAGCAUAAUUUGGAAAAGAAGGGAAGGCAAAAUUUGAGGGAAAAGAAAAGAAUACAUAAUUUGGGAAGAAAGGCAGAAGUUGGGAAAAAGAAAGCAAGGCAUAACUUGGAAAGGAAGGCAGAAGUUGGAAAAAGAAAUAAAGGCAUAAUUGGAGAAAGAAAGGAAGGCACAAUGUGAAAAAGAAGGAAAGGAAUGUUUAAAUUCAAAAAUGGACCUAGUCUGAUGAAUAUCUAGAGUCAAAAUCUCAAUCCGAUGAAUCUUUCUCCUGAGAUCAUACAAAAUUGGACCUAGUCUGAUGAAUUUCUCCUAGAGUCAAAAUCUCAGUCCGAUGAAUCUUUCUUCUAAGAUCACACAAAUGGACCUAGUCUGAUGAAUUAUCUCCUAGAGUCAAAAUCUCAGUCCGAUGAAUCUUUCUCUUGAGAUCGCGCAAAAAUGGACCUAGUCUGAUGAAUUAUCUCCUAGAGUCAAAAUCUUAGCCUGCUGAAUCUUUCACCCAAGAUGAAAAUCUUGGUCUGAUGAAUUUUUCACCUAAGAUAAAAAUCAAAAUCUUAGUCUGCUGAAUCUUUCUCCUAAGAUAAAAUCUUAGUCUGAUGAACUUUUCACCUAAGGUCAAAGUUAGAAAAGUCUUAGUCUGUUGAAUCUUUCUCCUAAGAUGAAAAUCUUAGUCCGAUGAAUUUUUCACCUAAGACAAAUUUCAAAUUUUAAGGUACAUUUCAGUCUUUAAAGUUGUAUUUCAGUCUUAUCACAAUUCAAGUUUUAGUCCUUAUUAGUAUGUGGUAACAAACCCCAGUUUUACAAACUGGGGCAGAAAGUUUUCUUUGUUUUGUCUAUCUUUGUGAAGUCAGGAGCCCGCCUGGAGAACAGAGGAAUACAUUCAAGUUUUGAAGUCAGUAGCCCACCUGGAGAACGGAGGUAUUACGUUUCAAGUUUUAAUUUUCAAAUUCGUAUUAGUAUCCGAUAAGAAACCCCAGUUUUACAAACAGGGGCAGAAAGUUUCCUUUGUUUUGUCUAUUUUUAUACAGUCAGGAGCCCGCCUGGAUAACAGAGGAAUACAUUCAAGUUCAAGUUUACUCAAGUUCAGCAAUUUGAAGAAGGGAAUAGUUUACAAUUCAAAACGACAACAAUGGAUUUCACCUGGAGAGCAAGGGAAGACAACUCAAGUUUCAAGGGGAAGCAGUGUCGACGGAAGACAACUUAAGUUUCGAGGGAAAGCAGUUUUGAGGGAAGAAAGUUCAAGUUUCAAGGGAAAAUGGUUCAAGGUGCCGAGUAGGUUUGACGUCGAGGCACACGAUUCGAGAUGGCAGAAAAAAUGAGUCUCAAUCCAAAAUAAAGAAAAAAAAAGAGCAAAAGAAGUGAGCUCCAAAAUUCAGAAGCAGGAAAAGCUGUGAACUGCUCAAGACGUGGUUGAAGUCAUGAGCACUACAUGCCCGGUCUUGAUCCAAAAGCUGAAGAAGAUUGAACCAACACCUGCGGCUAACAAGCAUCAAGAUUCGGAUUAAGGUCCGCAUGAAGCACCAACCAAGA